AUUGAACGCUGGCGGCAGGCCUAACACAUGCAAGUCGAGCGGAGCGGCGGACGGGUGAGUAAUGCCAAGGAAUCAGCCUGGUAGUGGGGGAUAACGUCCGGAAACGGGCGCUAAUACCGCAUACUAUCAGAUGAGCUUAGUGCGGAUUAGCUAGUUGGUGGGGGAAAGGCCUACCAAGGCGACUAUCCGUAACUGGUCUGAGAGGAUGAUCAGUCACACUGGAACUGAGACACGGUCAAGACUCCUACGGUAGGCAGCAGUGGGGAAUUUUGGACAAUGGGCGAAAUCCUGAUCCAGCCAUGCCGCGUGUGUGAAGAAGGUCUUCGGAUUUUAAAGCACUUUAAGUUGGGAGGCGUUACCAACAGAAUAAGCACCGGCUAACUUCGUGCCAGCAGCCGCGGUAAUUC
rnacentral:rRNA from 1 species